rnacentral:rRNA from 1 species
GUAGGGAAUCUUCCACAAUGGACGCAAGUCUGAUGGAGCAGCGCCGCGUGAGUGAAGAAGGUCUUCGGAUCGUAAAACUCUGUUGUUAGAGAAGAACACGAGUGAGAGUAACUGUUCAUUCGAUGACGGUAUCUAACCAGCAAGUCACGGCUAACUACGUGCCAG